rnacentral:rRNA from 1 species
CGGACGGGUGAGUAACACGUGGAUAACCUACCUAUAAGACUGGGAUAACUUCGGGAAACCGGAGCUAAUACCGGAUAAUAUAUUGAACCGUAUGGUUCAAUAGUGAAAGACGGUUUUGCUGUCACUUAUAGAUGGAUCCGCGCCGCAUUAGCUAGUUGGUAAGGUAACGGCUUACCAAGGCAACGAUGCGUAGCCGACCUGAGAGGGUGAUCGGCCACACUGGAACUGAGACACGGUCCAG